GGACUACCGGGGUAUCUAAUCCUGUUUGCUCCCCACGCUUUCGCGCCUUAGCGUCAGUACCGGGCCAGAAAGUCGCCUUCGCCACUGGUGUUCUUACGAAUAUCUACGAAUUUCACCUCUACACUCGUAAUUCCACUUUCCUCUCCCGGUCUCUAGUUUCACAGUAUCAAAUGCACAUCCUGGGUUAAGCCCAGGGCUUUCACAUCUGACUUAUGAUACCGCCUACACGCCCUUUACGCCCAGUAAUUCCGAACAACGCUAGCUCCCUUCGUAUUACCGCGGCUGCUGGCAC
rnacentral:rRNA from 1 species